rnacentral:rRNA from 1 species
GGAGGGUGCAAGCGUUAAUCGGAAUUACUGGGCGUAAAGCGCGCGUAGGUGGUUUGAUAAGUUGGGUGUGAAAGCCCCGGGCUUAACCUGGGAAAGUCAUUCAAAACUAUUAGACUAGAGUACAGGAGAGGGUAGUGGAAUUUCCAGUGUAGCGGUGAAAUGCGUAGAUAUUGGAAGGAACACCAGUGGCGAAGGCGGCUACCUGGCCUGAUACUGACACUGAGGUGCGAAAGGCGUGGGGAGCAAACAGGAUUAGAUACCCUGGUAGUCCACGCUGUAAACGAUGUCAACUAGCUGUUGGCCCUUAUUAAUGAGGUUAGUGGCGUAGCUAACGCGCUAAGUUGACCGCCUGGGGGAGUACGGUCGCAAGAUUA